rnacentral:rRNA from 1 species
CGUGUAGGCGGUUUGUUAAGUCUGAUGUGAAAGCCCCGGGCUCAACCUGGGAAGUGCAUUGGAAACUGGCAGACUUGAAUACGGGAGAGGGUAGUGGAAUUCCUAGUGUAGGAGUGAAAUCCGUAGAUAUUAGGAGGAACACCGGUGGCGAAGGCGGCUGCCUGGACCGAUAUUGACGCUGAGACGCGAAAGCGUGGGGAGCAAACAGGAUUAGAUACCCUGGUAGUCCACGCCGUAAACGAUGAGUACUAGGUGUUGCGGGUAUUGACCCCUGCAGUGCCGCAGCUAACGCAUUAAGUACUCCGCCUGGGAAGUACGGCCGCAAGGCUAAA